rnacentral:rRNA from 1 species
GAUGAACGCUGGCGGCGUGCCUAAUACAUGCAAGUCGAGCGAACAGACGAGGAGCUUGCUCCUUUGACGUUAGCGGCGGACGGGUGAGUAACACGUAGGUAACCUACCUAUAAGACUGGGAUAACUUCGGGAAACCGGAGCUAAUACCGGAUAAUAUUUCGAACCGCAUGGUUCGAUAGUGAAAGAUGGCUUUGCUAACACUUAUAGAUGGACCUGCGCCGUAUUAGCUAGUUGGUAAGGUAACGGCUUACCAAGGCAACGAUACGUAGCCGACCUGAGAGGGUGAUCGGCCACACUGGAACUGAGACACGGUCCAGACUCCUACGGGAGGCAGCAGUAGGGAAUCUUCCGCAAUGGGCGAAAGCCUGACGGAGCAACGCCGCGUGAGUGAUGAAGGUCUUCGGAUCGUAAAACUCUGUUAUUAGGGAAGAACAAACGUGUAAGUAACUGUGCACGUCUUGACGGUACCUAAUCAGAAAGCCACGGCUAACUACGUG